rnacentral:rRNA from 1 species
AGUGAACGCUGGCGGUAGGCCUAACACAUGCAAGUCGAACGGCAGCACAGUAAGAGCUUGCUCUUACGGGUGGCGAGUGGCGGACGGGUGAGGAAUACAUCGGAAUCUACUUUUUCGUGGGGGAUAACGUAGGGAAACUUACGCUAAUACCGCAUACGACCUACGGGUGAAAGCACGGGAUCUUCGGACCUUGUGCUAUUGAAUGAGCCGAUGUCGGAUUAGCUAGUUGGCGGGGUAAAGGCCCACCAAGGCGACGAUCCGUAGCUGGUCUGAGAGGAUGAUCAGCCACACUGGAUCUGAGACACGGUCCAGACUCCUACGGGAGGCAGCAGUGGGGAAUAUUGGACAAUGGGCGCAAGCCUGAUCCAGCCAUACCGCGUGGGUGAAGAAGGCCUUCGGGUUGUAAAGCCCUUUUGUUGGGAAAGAAAAGCAGCAGGUUAAUACCCCGCUGUUCUGACGGUACCCAAAGAAUAAGCACCGGCUAACUUCGUG